rnacentral:pre_miRNA from 10 species
GGUUGCGUGGCAGCAGGACUUAACACGCAUGUGAACAGUGUAAGUGUCCUCCGUGUUCACAGUGGUUAAGUUCUGCCGCC